UCAAUAGAAUCUCCUGCCUCAGCCUCCCAAGUAGCUGGGAUUACAUGCAUGUGCCACCACGCACGGCUAGAGAACUAUUGAUGAGAUGAAGUGAUGCAUCUUCAAGUUAACUAGUACCUGUCUGUUCUUCUACAUUGUACAUUAGAUAACUCACCAACUCCUCAGAAGACUGAAGCCUCAGCAGAAGUCCCCAUGAGUCCCUACAGCCACAAUAAAUUGAAUUCUGCCAAAAAUCUUAAUAAGCUUGGAAGAAGACCUUCAGCUCCUGAUGAGAACCCAGCCAGAAACAAGAUGAGAACCCAGAAACAAGAUUUUCAUCUUAUUUCAACCUGAGCAGAGAACCCAGAGGAGCCCUGGCCAGAUUUUUGGUCUACAGGAUUGAGAAGACACCUGCCUGAGGGUCUUAUAGCUAAUGGACUGCAGAAGACUUGAGUCAUCAUUCAAAUUCAGUAGCCAUCCUCUGAUGUCCAGUUGAAGAUUGGUGAUUCCAGAAUAGCUCGCAUUGCCCCAGUUGACUUGCCACACAGCUUCUUUCAGGACUUGAAAAUGUCCUAGCCACCCCCAUCUUACCUCCUACUUCCAAUGCCUUUUAAGAUAGAAAACAAAAAACAAAACAACAAAAAAACACCAGCCACCCUUGUGGGUUAGAUAAUCCUACAUCAAGGUGAAUUCUUGAUAACCAGUUCUGUUCUUCCUUAUGUCUUGUAAACAUGCUAAUUAGAAGGAGCUUGUGUUUGAAGAUCAAGGGAGGAAGAAUUCUGAAGCCAGGGCUAGCCUUAGGGGACAUAACUCCUUCCAGUCACUUCCUGAAUUUUUUGGUACCUGGCUUUUGAGAGUCCUCCAAAGUGAGAAUUUCAUGACAUGUAACCUCUCAACACCUGCAUUUUAAAAAAUUGUCCAAAAUACCGCAGAUACCACAGAAAAGUCCAAAACUUAAGUUUUUCCCUCCACUCAGAGCAUCUUAGCAACAUACUAACCAUAAGACUCUAAGCGCUCUUACCCUCAAUGCAAUUCUCACUGAAUAUCCUGUCAGGAGAACUCUACCUCUCUUCCAUGUUAUUAAGGUUAUUGUUCUUUGCAAGGUGUACACAACACAAAUAUAUUUCUUGGUGAAUGAACUCACUCUCAAAGACUGCUGUCCUUGGGGAUAUAGCCAACAUGCCAUAUCCACAACAUAGGUCUUCUUUACAGUCCUGUUGAAACAUGUAAGAUCAGCUACUAAGUCCCUGCAUCUCAGACAGGAACUUAAUAGAGUACAUUUAAAAAAAAAAUUCAGAAGUAAUUAAAACAAAUUGCAUACAAGCCACCUGUUUAGAAAGUUCAUAAAUUUUAUGCAAUUAUUUAUCUCUUUAUUUUUUCUGAAAUCAAGAGCAGAAUGUAUCCAAGUGAAACUAAAAGAGCGAGGUCAAGGGGAAACAACACAGGGCUUGUGGAGUCAUAAAUAUGUAUUAAAGCAGCAGAGUUAAUUUUGUCCCAAGUUCCAUAUUGGCCAGGAAAAAAGAAACAAGAUCAGCAGAGUUAACAGCUCUCAACCUGAAUAUGCCUCAGAAUUUCUAGGAGGACUUAAGUAAUGAGAUUCCUGGGUUUCUACAUGGACCAACUCAAUCAAACUCUUCAGGAGACAGCUGCUGUUGUUAGACUGUGUCUCCCAAAAUUCUUGUGUUGGAAACUUAGUUCCCAAUGUAAUGAUACUGGCAGGUGUGGCCUAGUGGGGGGUGUUUAGAUCAUGAGGGCUUCAGCCUCAUGAAUGGAUUAAUGUUGAUAUCUCAGGAGUGAGUUUCCUCUUGCUCUCUGUAGCCCUCUCUCUUGCCACAUGAUGACUUCCACCAGGUUAUGACUCAACAGGAAGGCCCUCACAAGAUGUGGAACCUCAAUCUUAGACUUCUCAGCCUCCAGAAGUGAGCCAAAUAAAUUUCUGUUCAUUAUACAUUA
rnacentral:lncRNA from 1 species